CGAGGAAUAUUGCACAAUGGAGGCAACUCUGAUGCAGUAACGCCGCGUGCGGGAUGAAGACCUUCGGGUUGUAAACCGCUUUUGUGGAGGACGAGAGAGGACGGUACUCUGCGAAUAAGUCUCGGCUAACUACGUGCCAGCAGCCGCGGUAAGACGUAGGAGGCGAGCGUUAUCCGGAUUCACUGGGCGUAAAGCGCAUGUAGGCGGCUGAUUAAGUCGUGUGUUAAAGCCCCUGGCUCAACUGGGGGAGGUCAUGCGAGACUAGUCGGCUUGAGGGUCACAGAGGCACGUGGAACUCCCGGUGUAGCGGUGGAAUGCGUAGAGAUCGGGAAGAACACCCGUGGCGAAGGCGACGUGCUGGGUGGCAACUGACGCUGAGAUGCGAAAGUGUGGGGAGCAAACGG
rnacentral:rRNA from 1 species